CCUACGGGUGGCAGCAGUGGGGAAUAUUGGACAAUGGGCGAAAGCCUGAUCCAGCCAUGCCGCGUGUGUGAAGAAGGCCUUCGGGUUGUAAAGCACUUUCAGUGGGGAAGAAAGCCUUGGGGCUAAUACCCUCGAGGAAGGACAUCACCCACAGAAGAAGCACCGGCUAACUCCGUGCCAGCAGCCGCGGUAAUACGGAGGGUGCGAGCGUUAAUCGGAAUUACUGGGCGUAAAGCGCGCGUAGGCGGUCUGAUAAGCCGGUUGUGAAAGCCCCGGGCUCAACCUGGGAACGGCAUCCGGAACUGGCAGGCUAGAGUACAGGAGAGGAUGGUAGAAUUCCAGGUGUAGCGGUGAAAUGCGUAGAGAUCGGGAGGAAUACCAAUGGCGAAGGCGGCCUUCUGGCCUGACACUGACGCUGAGGUGCGAAAGCAUGGGUAGCAAACAGGAUUAGAUACCCGAGUAGUC
rnacentral:rRNA from 1 species